GAUUGGUUCGAGGAAAAUAACGAAGGC
rnacentral:piRNA from 1 species